CCUGGGCGCUCCUUCUGGCCUCGGGGGUCCAGCACCCUUAUCAAACUCACUGUUCUAGCACCUGUUAAUUUAACAGGCUUCAUGAUACUAGUAAAUAUAUAAACCACAUGUCUGAAACGGUACAGGAAGACAGUCCUGAAACCAUUUUGACUCUCCCAAAUUGACCUCAAAUGUUUCUCUGCAAGGAGGGAGGAAAUGGAAAAACCUCCCCAUUGUCUCUUUGCUCACAAAACCUGUCUUAAGGGCGUAUCUGUGUAUGAAUAGGGUGAGCCUGUGACCUGGAUUCAGGAACUAAGUAUUUACCAUCACAAAAGAAUGGCCAGGCUGCCCAGGUAAUGCAAUCAGUGACCAUUAUCAGGUAUCUGAUUUCUGGCAGGCAGGAUUUCUGCUGUGGACCGCUUCCUGUGAUAUAUUUCUGCUGUAGACUGCCACUUCAGUGAUGUAUGUAUGUAUGGGGGUGGCGGCCUUAAGCUACAGGGUGGCAAUUUCAAAAGUCUAUAUAAGGGCUUGCACACCAAUGUUCGGGGUUCCUCCUCCCUCCUGCGUGGGGGAGGGGGUUGAGCACCCCGUUGCAACAGUUUAAUAAAGAUCAGGCUUACAAGUUGCUUUGCUUCUCAGUAUUCUCUGGUUGGCCUCUGUUAUUUCCUCCAACUGAUAGGGAACUCUUAAGGACUCUAUACGGGCUCUUCGAUACCCCAUAAGGGAAAAGGAGCAGAUUUUGUUUACAACAUGUAAGAGGGCAGAAUUGCAGGAACAAAACUAGAGGAACUGCCUGGGAGCUUUGGAAGAAUAAAGGGCAGAAAGGAUUCGAUCACCCUGUAGCCGUGUAAAACUGCACUGCUCGUACCAUGACGCACCACGCAUUUGCUCUCUCAACAGCGAUUUGCUUUGUCCUGGAUUGCAUGGGUGCUGUUUUGUUGCAGCAGAGUGUCGGGUGACAUGCUCUUUUCCAACUUGGAUACCCCGUGAUGGAUUAUUUGCCGCAGAAGCGGCCUCUGAAUAUUUGGCAGCCUGAAGUGGCGGUGGAGGGAGGAUGGCUAUUUCUGUGGAAACGAGUCAGCAGAACUUUUGAUGAACUGGCAACUCUGCUGCAUGAAGUCCUAGAUUAACGUUAAUGUAAUUAAACAGGGGCACUUGGUUCAUGAGAGGCAUCUGCUAAAUGCACAGAAGCAAUAAAAGUGAGAAAUUGUGGCUUCGCAGAGACUCGUCCCUGCCAGAAAGCCAGCCAAUUGUCAUUAGGAGAUUGCAAGCUCUUGGCCUUAGCUGCUGCCUGAGUUCUGUGGCCGAAACUGCAUUAUGCACACUUAGAGCUCGUAUUUGCAUCAUGACUGACGCCAAGUUCUUUUGCUAUGGGGCAACAGACGAAGAAGCCCUAGAGAAGGGGAUUCAGUGUUGUGUUAGGAAUGAUGCCAAUGAUUCUCAGAGUAGAGGACCCCUCUGUGGCUUGGGAUAGGCCUAGUGGUGGCUAGUCUCAUCCUGAGUGACAUUUGCACCCCACCCUUGCACCCAAGCAUCCAUGGGGUAGCGACUGGACCAAGUUCUACCUAUGGCAGCCUUCUCAAAGCUGGUGGCCUGCAGAUGUUAUGGACUGCAGCUCUCAUCUACCUCAGCAUCGUACAACUUUGCUGGCGUGGCCUGAUGGGAGCUACAGUCCAAAACAUUUGCUGGGCACCAGCUUGGGGAAGGCUAUGCCCCACAAACCUCACGAACCAAGCAGGAGCAUGAAGCCUCGUCUCCCUGGUCCAAAUCCAAUCCCCCGUCUGCCACAUCACCACACUGGCUUGCAAAUGAAAGUAGUGGCAAUUGUAAAGCACCAUUAAAUGGGCUGCUCUAUUAGGUAUAUAUGGCAAUGCCAGGAAAUCCCUUGCUUGAUUUCAUUUGUAACAUUGGCACAGCUUUUGGUACAGGUUGUUGUGCAUUCCUUUUCUUGUUUUUGUAUGUCCCUAAUGUGUUUUAUUGUGUUGUGCUGUUUUGCAAACAGCUCUGGCCAUUUGACUGAAGGGCAAAGUAUUAAUUUCUUAAACAAAGAACCACAGUAAAUGCUUCUAAAAUACACUGCUUUUAUAAGUACGUUUUGCAGUUUAAUCAGAGACAAGAACAGGCCUUUGGACACUUGUGGAGCAAUUUACUCAUCCCCGCUGAAAUCUUUGCGCCUUGCCCA